rnacentral:rRNA from 1 species
ACCCGCUGAACUUAAGCAUAUCAAUAAGCGGAGGAAAAGAAACCAACAGGGAUUGCCCUAGUAACGGCGAGUGAAGCGGCAACAGCUCAAAUUUGAAAUCUGGCGUCUUUGGCGUCCGAGUUGUAAUUUGCAGAGGGCGCUUUGGCAUCGGCAGCGGUCCAAGUUCCUUGGAACAGGACGUCACAGAGGGUGAGAAUCCCGUACGUGAUCGCUAGCCUUUAUCGUGUAAAGCCCCUUCGACGAGUCGAGUUGUUUGGGAAUGCAGCUCUAAAUGGGAGGUAAAUUUCUUCUAAAGCUAAAUACUGGCCAGAGACCGAUAGCGCACAAGUAGAGUGAUCGAAAGAUGAAAAGCACUUUGGAAAGAGAGUUAAAAAGCACGUGAAAUUGUUGAAAGGGAAGCGCUUGCAGCCAGACUUGCCUGUAGUUGCUCAUCCGGGUUUUUACCCGGUGCACUCUUCUAUAGGCAGGCCAGCAUCAGUUUGGGCGGUUGGAUAAAGGUCUCUGUCAUGUACCUCUCUUCGGGGAGAACUUAUAGGGGAGACGACAUGCAACCAGCCUGGACUGAGGUCCGCGCAUCUGCUAGGAUGCUGGCGUAAUGGCUGU